rnacentral:rRNA from 1 species
CCUACGGGAGGCAGCAGUGGGGAAUAUUGCGCAAUGGAGGCAACUCUGAUCCAGCAACGCCGCGUGAAUGAUGAAGGACUUCGGAUUGUAAAGUUCUGUGAUCGGGGAUGAACACAAUGACGGUACCCCAAUAGCAAGCCACGGCGAACUACGCGCCAGCAGCCGCGGUAAUACGUAGGUGGCAAGCGUGAUCCGGAAGGACUGGGUGUAAAGGGAGCGUAGGUGGUUUAGUAAGUUGGCGGUGAAAUGCCGGGGCUCAACCACGGCGCUACUGCGAAAACGGUUAGACUAGAGUGCAGGGGGGGGAAGCGGAAUUCCUAGUGUAGCGGUGGAAUGCGUAGAUAUUAGGAGGAACAUCAGGGGCGAAGGCGACUUACUGGACUGUAACUGACACUGAGGCACGAAAGCGUGGGGAGCAAACAGGAUUAGAUACCCCAGUAGUC